rnacentral:lncRNA from 1 species
UGGGCUGUAAAAACCUUUAACGGUGCGGCCACUCCAAACGCGUUACUCGCGUUGGAUAACGCGAGUAAGGGCAUGUGUCCACCAAAAGCGUUUUUAAAAGACGGAGCGCCGGUCUGCAAUGCAUUCUCUAUGGCAGGACGCGCAAGCAGCGCGCCUUUUAAAAAGCCGCCCGGAGCGUUUAAACGCUCCACGCGCCUCGCGCUUUUAGACGCGCGCCCCCGUUGAAAAAAGUUGAACUUUUGAAGAAAAGCGCUUCACGUCAUCGGCGCUUUUUUUGAACGACCAAUCAAAAUCGAGGAUGAGGCAAGGCUAAAAGUAUAAACGGAACUCAAACUGAAACAAACUGAAACAUGUCGGACGAAAGCUUAAUAACAGCUGUGAGCGAGUGUCCGGUCCUGUACGACCUCACGUUGAAGGCCUACCACGACCUAACAAAACGCAACCAGGCCUGGCGAGACAUUUCAUCUAUGCUGGGCGUUACAGGUGGUGGCUCAAAGUGAAGAGGAGAUAUCUCCUCCCUCUCCCAGCCUAUCAGAGUCCGCUGUGGACACCUCUCCUCCAUCUCCUCCAACUACCUCUACACCGCUGCGUCCUGUACCUCCACCACCACGCAGGAGACAGCUGGAGCAGCCGCUGUCUGUGUUCCAGCAAUCAAUCCUGUCCGCCCUCGAAAAAGAAAAGGAGAAUACACCGGCUCUGGACGAGGAUGAGCAUUUUAUGCUCAGCCUCGUCCCAUCAUUGAGGAGGCUGUCCAACCAGAAAAAGGCCCAGGCGCGCAUGAGGAUGCAGCAGGUCCUUUAUGAUGUGGAGUUUGGAGAGUAAUUAAUUUGUAAUCAUUUUCUAUUUAGAUUUAGUGUUAAGAUUUAAGAUUUUUUUAAAUGUGUAAAUAAAAUUUGCAAUCAGUUUCUAUUUAGAUUUAGUUUAAGCUUUAAGAUUUUUUUAAAUGUGUACAUACUAUCUUGGAAUCAUUUUCUAUUUAG